rnacentral:lncRNA from 1 species
ACAGAUCCGGAAACCAAUCGAAGAUUGACUCCUUCUAGUUCUAAUCCUAUGUAGCUAUGCUAAUCUAGAUAUCUAAUUGAUGUGGUGGCUCUAAUCUUGAUCAGAGGCUUCUUCUCCCUUGAUGGAACAAUGAAUUAGGGUUGAGAGGCUCUCUCCUCCAGGGGCCAGGGGGUCUGGUUUUAUAGUCCCUCCAAGUGAAUAUGGGCCCUUGGAUCAAACCGACAUAGAUUGUAUGGUUUAGAUUCAUCCUUUAGGUCGGUGGAGAUCUCCCGCGAAGCAGAGUCCUGAUUGGACUCCUGGAGGGGGCGGGCGCCCAGGGCAGGAGGGCGGGCGCCCUGCCUCUGGCCCCGUUUCGCCUCCGCUUCGGUCUCGUGGCUUCUGGAGUCUUCUAGAUGUAAGAUAAUUGUGCAGCACGUUAAUAUCUUUACGUAAUCCCGACAUGUGGGCCUUUCUUCCAUAUUUCCUGAUAACCCCCUGCAGAAAUAGACAAACACCAAAACUCAUGGAAUUCUGUCAGAUAAAACCCUAAGUCUAGAUCUUUAUUUCAUUUGGAUCCUUUUCUUUAUUUGUUUGAUAAUUAAAUUUGAUACUUAAGGACCGUCAACAAACUCCCCCAAGCUUACCUCUUGCUCGUCCCUGAGCAAGGAUAGACUUAACUAUGGAUCAUAAGUUGUUGUAAUAUUUUAAAAAUUUGACGGUACACAUGCUUUUAAAUAAGAUCUCAUCUCUGAGUUAGAGUAAACUGUCAAGACUUAAAACUUACUUACUUUACCUUUACCAUGGGACUUGUAACUGUCACUUCUGUCUUGAGUGGAUAAAAGAUAGAACAGUCUAGCCAAGUGCCAUGUCUCUUAUUCUUGAUCAGCUAUAGCUCUGGGGUUUUUGCAGAUUUUCAAAUAAAACUCAGAAAUUCCUUGUAUGAUUCUCUCAAGUCUCUCUUUUGUGGUAUUUAUGGAUCCUUACCAAGGCAGUGAUGGUAUAUGCCUUCUCUCAAGAUAUGUGGUAUUUGUGGUAUGAGGCAUAGUGACAUUGCCUUCUCUCUCACCCUACUCUAAUAAGGCUUUAAUAUCUAGAGCUCAUAGGUGGGAGAUAAAGUAUACAUACUUACAAGACAUUUAUUGCAUAGUCAAACCAUGGAUCCAAAGAAACAAAUCAAUAAGCCAAAUCAAGAUGUGCAUGUGUGGCGAAUGAAUGGUGUAUGGUGAUGAUGGUAAUAACAAUGGUGGAAACAAUGGCGGUGGAAGUCUAAUUCUACUUUGCUCUUUUAAGGGGAUACAUACCUUCCUUGCCUUUGAAACUUUAUGAGGAGAAUGAGAUGCUCUUCUUUUUUCUUUUCUCUCAGGUGGGUAUCUUGCACCCCUAAUUCUACUGUCGGACACUUGUCCAUUUUUACCUCUCGUCUCACUUUUUUUCUUUUUCUUUCGAGGUUCCGAGCACUUGCUCCUUUUUAUUUCCUCGUAUUUAUUUUUUUUCUUUUUUUUCAGAGCAUUCAUCUCUUGAGAUAAUAUAGCAAGUGGUAGUAACAAGAUAACUUGAGCAUUUAUUUCACAAGGGGAAAACAGAAAUAUUUUUGGUUAUUCUCUCCCGGAUUAGGAGCAGAAUAUUUUUGGGUGAUUCUGGAGAUGGAAUGGGUGGAUAUAUGUGGAUGGUACUUCCGGAGUAGAAGUAGCAUAUAUGAGUGAACGUGCAAGUGAAUCUUGAUUUAACCACAUGACAAGUUCCUAAGGGUCUACACAGCUUGACCACACUCAAUGCUCAUAAGCAGUAAAUAAUAAAUGUGUGGCUCAAAGUCUAGCAAGCAUGUAUAUAUGGCUGUGGUAGGAAUUUAAACUCUCAUCAUACAGGAACUCAUCAUGCAACAUUUUAAAGAUUUUUCAAAGAUAAAAUUCUCUAGAAUUCUAGCAUCUCUAGGAACAGAUAAACAGCAGCUCAACCUUCCCAUAUCAUAUCCGUUAACAACUUUGACUUCAGAUCAAGUUUUCAUCCCACAAGUUUAGGUCUAGAGCAAGCUUUAAAUUAUAACAGUUAUAUCUAAACUUGAGAGAGAACUUAAAAUGUGCAAUUUAGGCAGAGCAACUAUUCAUCAUAUCCAUGCUUGAGUUUUAUUUAGAUACAGAUUAGCAUAGCCACUUUAUUUAUUUAUUAAACAUAUUAAGCAGAAGCAUAAAAUCUUUAUUUGGUUUUCCAUAGUUUAUGUAUAUUUAAAUUCUAAAAUAAUAUAAGUAUAAAGAUAGAUAGAAAUACUUAUCGUGAUAAAUGGGGGUGCUCUCCCCCAAGCUGAAUUUUGACGUAAUUUCUCUUGAUGUAGCUAGCAGGUGGCAGAGGUGUAUUUGAAAGUCAGCAGCAUUCUGACAGCGAUUAGAAUGUCCUCCGUCUACUAGUCUUCUUGAUUCUUAAUUCUGUGGAGCCCAAAUAGACAACAAAGCUUGUGGAACUGAUUAAGUGUUAGCAUGAAUAUCUAGCCUUUAUUAUCUUGAGACUCCUUAAUAAUUGUUACUCCCUGUUUUUAUAUUUUUGUUUUAUAAAGCAGAAAAAUAUUUAUUUUAUUUUUAUGCCACCACAGUGAAUGUACUUAUGGGUUUUAUGCCACUCGUCUACUCACAUGGGGCUUACUGUUUUUAACAUUUUUAUUUUCUUUUUAAGAUAGUGUGAAUAUGAUUAACUAAGUAAACUAUUUGAAAUAACUGAAAGGGAAAGGGUAACUACCAAGUUUACCUCUUGGCAAGGCGUUCGGUGUUUUUGAGUCCUCCGAACGGGACUCUCCAAUUUCUUAAUCAUCCUGAGGUUCGUUGGGUGGCGUAGUCGGUACUUCCGGCAGCGCCUCCUCUUCUUGUAUAGUUAUCUUCAUUUUCCACACCUGACUUGGUGCUUCAAUCUCCUCUGGAUAAUUCUAUUUAAACUCUACGUCUUCUGACCUUACAACUUCUCCUUCAUAGUCUGCCCAUCCGUCCUUGAUGAUCUGCCUCCUCUGGUUGCGGUUGCGUCUCUUUCUGACCUGCUUAGAUUCUUCAACGAUAUAGUCAGGGUCAGUAAAGUAACGGCGUACCUUCUCUGAGGGGAAGUGCAUAUGGACUUCUCCGGUUCCAAUGUAGAUAAUUGCUUUAACGGUGCUGAGGAACGGUCUUCCAAGGAUGAUGGGUGGAUCGUACUCGUCUUCUCCCAUGUCAACAACUUGAAAGUCUGUGUAGGCAAAGUGAUCAUCUAUUUUGACUGGGACAUCAGUUACUGUUCCUUUGACUUCUCGGAAUGUCUGAUCUGCCAUCUGGAGCUGAAUGUAUGUUGGUCUUAGUGGCAUGGUUCCGAACAAGAGCCGAUAGGUGACUGCGGCCAUUAUGUUGACGCCCGAUCCAGUGUCGCAAAUCGUCUUGUAGAAGUUGUAUCCAUUUAUGGAGCAGUAGAUGCUUGGCAUUCCUGGGUCGUCCUUCUUGGUCAAAAACGGUGACUUAAGUUGAUGAUCUUGGCCUCCAUGAACUACAGUGACCAUCUUAGCUGACUCCAGAUGGCAGAAAAAUAUUUAUUUUAAUUUUAUGCCACCACAGUGAAUGUACUUAUGGGUUUUAUGCCACUCGUCUACUCACAUGGGGCUUACUGUUUUUAACAUUUUUAUUUUCUUUUUAAGAUAGUGUGAAUAUGAUUAACUAAGUAAACUAUUUGAAAUAACUGAAAGGGAAAGGGUAACUACCAAGUUUACCUCUUGGCAAGGCGUUCGGUGUUUUUGAGUCCUCCGAACGGGACUCUCCAAUUUCUUAAUCGUCCUGAGGUUCGUUGGGUGGCGUAGUCGGUACUUCCGGCAGCGCCUCCUCUUCUUGUAUAGUUAUCUUCAUUUUUCAUACCUGACUCGGUGCUUCAAUCUCCUCUGGAUAAUUCUAUUUAAACUCAACAACUUCUGAUCUUACAACUUCUCCUUCAUAGUCUGCCCAUCCGUCCUUGAUGAUCUGCCUUCUCUGGUUGCGGUUGCGUCUCUUUCUGACCUGCUUAGAUUCUUCAAUGAUAUAGUCAGGGUCAGUAAAGUAACGGUGUACCUUCUCUGAGGGGAAGUGCAUAUGGACUUCUCCGGUUCUAAUGUAGAUAAUUGCUUUAACGGUGCUGAGGAACGGUCUUCCAAGGAUGAUGGGUGGAUCGUACUCGUCUUCUCCCAUGUCAACAACUUGAAAGUCUGUGUAGACAAAGUGAUCAUCUAUUUUGACUGGGACAUCAGUUACUGUUCCUUUGACUUCUCGGAAUGUCUGAUCUGCCAUCUGGAGCUGAAUGUAUGUUGGUCUUAGUGGCAUGGUUCCGAACAAGAGCUGAUAGGUGACUGCGGCCAUUAUGUUGACGCCCGAUCCAGUGUCGCAAAUCGUCUUGUAGAAGUUGUAUCCAUUUAUGGAGCAGUAGAUGCUUGGCAUUCCUGGGUCGUCCUUCUUGGUCAAAAACGGUGACUUAAGUUGAUGAUCUUGGCCUCCAUGAACUACAGUGACCAUCUUAGCUGACUCGGUCCACACUUGCUUGUUCCUGUUCCUCCUGUUGGUCCUCUUCCUUGAUUCACGUCUGGAUUGAUCUUGAAUUUGUGUAGUCUUGUUCUUGAAGAAAAAUGUCUCCUUCCUCCCUUUGACGUAGAAACUGAUCUUGGCAGCACUGGCAUAGAUGAUAGCUCCCGUGGUGUUCAAGAAUGGCCUCCCUAAGAUGAUAGGUGCUCUCUCAUCAUUUCCGGUCUCUACCACUACGAAGUCUGCUGGGGCAUAUAAGGUACCAACUCGGACACAAAGGUUCCUCACUAUUCCUUUUGGAAAAGUUAUCGUCUGAUCUGCAAACUGCAAACACAUGGUUGUUUCUAGUAAAGGAUAUGUAAAGAAUUUCUCAUAGAGUACCCUAGGUAUAAUGUUGACACUAGAGCCAAAGUCGCAGAGUGCUUCUGGGAAGUCCACCAUGCCGAUAGAGAUCGGGAUGACGGGGCGUCCUGGAUCGCCUCUCUUGACCGGC